GUCGGAGUAGGAGGCGGCCCGCAAUGGGGAAGCUGGGCGCUCCCAUUCCCCAACUAGCUGCAGAAAUGCUUCCACCUGCUCCCCUGAGCGACCCCACGCUGAGACCGCCCCAUACCCUAGCCACGCUCACCACCCCCCACCCUCUGGCCUGAGCUGCUUUGACCUGAGGGUCACCUCAGCAGAAUGACGACGACAAAGCCUGGAGGAAAUCUGGAGUUUGCAAGACAAGCAAGCCCAGGUACCACCACUGCUUCUCUGGGCAGGUGCCCACCUCUGGCUGCUACCUCCCGCCCCACCACUGAAACUCAGCCGUCAAUGGACGCGAGCAGCAGAGACGAAGUCAGCAAAGAGACUCCAACAUUUCCCUUUUCCAUUUCAGAAAGAUUACUGGAAGUCUGGAUGGCUGUCUGUCACCUCACGCACCAAGUGCCCACAGUACAGUGAAGUAACCUAAAGGAGGGGGACCCACCUGGACCGCCUGCUGUAACUUCUGCCUCGGUGGUAACUGUCACUCCUCUGGCUUCGACUUCGACUCCGACUCCUGCUGUAGUAGCUGUCGUAAGUGUAGGACCUGCUUCAACAGCAACAACACACUCAGUUUUCCCAUUCCAAUACUUAUGUGCAUCCAUUUCUUUUUAUGAUCUGAUCAGUGUUCUCUGAAAACAAGGGCCUAGAUGACACUGUGGGGAUACAGCUGCAUAGCAAGGACUAGAAACGGUGAACAAUCGCCCCAGUCAGACUUACCACAGUAAAAAGAAAAAUGUUAAUUUAUUUUCUGCACUGAAAAAUAUCACGAAGUUAACACUGAGUUAAGUUUGACCAAAUCCAGAGGAUGUU